rnacentral:rRNA from 1 species
AUGGGAAACAGGUUAAUAUUCCUGUACUUGGUGUUACUGCGAAGGGGGGACGGAGAAGGCUAUGUUGGCCGGGCGACGGUUGUCCCGGUUUAAGCGUGUAGGCUGGUUUUCCAGGCAAAUCCGGAAAAUCAAGGCUGAGGCGUGAUGACGAGGCACUACGGUGCUGAAGCAACAAAUGCCCUGCUUCCAGGAAAAGCCUCUAAGCAUCAGGUAACAUCAAAUCGUACCCCAAACCGACACAGGUGGUCAGGUAGAGAAUACCAAGGCGCUUGAGAGAACUCGGGUGAAGGAACUAGGCAAAAUGGUGCCGUAACUUCGGGAGAAGGCACGCUGAUAUGUAGGUGAAGCGACUUGCUCGUGGAGCUGAAAUCAGUCGAAGAUACCAGCUGGCUGCAACUGUUUAUUAAAAACACAGCACUGUGCAAACACGAAAGUGGACGUAUACGGUGUGACGCCUGCCCGGUGCCGGAAGGUUAAUUGAUGGGGUUAGCGCAAGCGAAGCUCUUGAUCGAAGCCCCGGUAAACGGCGGCCGUAACUAUAACGGUCCUAAGGUAGCGAAAUUCCUUGUCGGGUAAGUUCCGACCUGCACGAAUGGCGUAAUGAUGGCCAGGCUGUCUCCACCCGAGACUCAGUGAAAUUGAACUCGCUGUGAAGAUGCAGUGUACCCGCGGCAAGACGGAAAGACCCCGUGAACCUUUACUAUAGCUUGACACUGAACAUUGAGCCUUGAUGUGUAGGAUAGGUGGGAGGCUUUGAAGUGUGGACGCCAGUCUGCAUGGAGCCGACCUUGAAAUACCACCCUUUAAUGUUUGAUGUUCUAACGUUGACCCGUAAUCCGGGUUGCGGACAGUGUCUGGUGGGUAGUUUGACUGGGGCGGUCUCCUCCUAAAGAGUAACGGAGGAGCACGAAGGUUGGCUAAUCCUGGUCGGACAUCAGGAGGUUAGUGCAAUGGCAUAAGCCAGCUUGACUGCGAGCGUGACGGCGCGAGCAGGUGCGAAAGCAGGUCAUAGUGAUCCGGUGGUUCUGAAUGGAAGGGCCAUCGCUCAACGGAUAAAAGGUACUCCGGGGAUAACAGGCUGAUACCGCCCAAGAGUUCAUAUCGACGGCGGUGUUUGGCACCUCGAUGUCGGCUCAUCACAUCCUGGGGCUGAAGUAGGUCCCAAGGGUAUGGCUGUUCGCCAUUUAAAGUGGUACGCGAGCUGGGUUUAGAACGUCGUGAGACAGUUCGGUCCCUA